rnacentral:rRNA from 1 species
CCUACGGGUGGCAGCAGUGGGGAAUAUUGCGCAAUGGGCGAAAGCCUGACGCAGCGACGCCGCGUGAGGGAUGAAGGUCUUCGGAUCGUAAACCUCUGUCAGCAGGGAAGAACGGUCACUGUGCUAAUCAGCAGUGAAUUGACGGUACCUGCAAAGGAAGCACCGGCUAACCCAGUGCCAGCAGCCGCGGUAAUACGGAGGGUGCGAGCGUUAAUCGGAAUUACUGGGCGUAAAGCGCUCGUAGGCGGUAUGUCAAGUCAAGGGUGAAAUCCCGGGGCUCCACGUGGGAACUGCCUUUGAAACUGGCAAACUGGGGUGUGUGAGAGGAUAGUGGAAUUCCAGGUGUAGGAGGGAAAUCCGUAGAUAUCUGGAGGAACAUCAGUGGCGAAGGCGACUAUCUGGCACAUAACUGACGCUGAGGAGCGAAAGCGUGGGUAGCAAACAGGAUUAGAUACCCCUGGUAGUC